UACGUAGGUGGCAAGCGUUGUCCGGAUUUAUUGGGUUUAAAGGGUGCGUAGGUGGGUCUGUAAGUCAGUGGUGAAAUCUCCGUGCUUAACAUGGAAACUGCCAUUGAUACUAUAGGUCUUGAAUUUUCUGGAGGUAAGCGGAAUAUGUCAUGUAGCGGUGAAAUGCUUAGAUAUGACAUAGAACACCAAUUGCGAAGGCAGCUUGCUACAGGGAUAUUGACACUGAGGCACGAAAGCGUGGGGAUCAAACAGG
rnacentral:rRNA from 1 species